GACUGUGGGUAAAAAGCAGCCCAAAAACAGCCGUUGUAAAAUCCGUUGAGCAAGGGGCGGUUGAGUUAACGUUAAUUUCCCGCACUGUAACAUCCGCGAGAUCAACCCCCUCUAUCCAGCUUUUUUGACAGCCGAAAGAAGUGCCAGAAGAGGUAGUAGGCAGUGGAGGUCUUGGAAAUAGAUUUGAAACAAACCACACAUUGACUGGCACAGGAAGUGUAUGAGGACCUUUUGCACAAAUGGACUUUGGAGUCACAUCAAUUUUUUGUCAUCAGAUGUUGCCCCAGUGUAAACACCAUUUUUCUUUCCCAGAACUGUCAUUACAGAGUUGCAUUUCAGCCUUUGGACAGGGAGUCCGCAGAAGGACCAGACUAAGCACACUGUAGCUCUCUGAAAAGGCUUGCUCGACAGGCAGAGAAUAGGUGGAGAGAUUUUAAGGGAACCGAAGACAUGAGACAUGUAAACAGGGUCUUAGAACCUUAAAGUCUCUGUCCUGUCAACAAACAACAGACCUAGAUCUGACCCAUCACAAUUUCACUGAAACGAAUAAGCUAAACAAAAUAUAGACCUGCGGGGUACAAAAAUGUUUACUUUGCUGAAUGUCCCACAGCAGGGGUUUAUUGAAAGAAGAUAAACUGUUACCAAGCUGGCUCAUUGUUUUUUUUUAUCAAUAUCAAUUAUAAUCAAUAGAUUUUUAUGAUAAUGCUCUACCAUUAGGACUUAGGAUAAAUGAGGAAAUCCUGUCUGCCUCUGUUCAUAUGGAUGCCCUAAUCCUUCUCCUGUGGAAGAAAAAAAAGAGACUGGACUUUCAAAUGACUGCCCUGCCACUGAUUCCCAGUAAAUUGAUUUUUUCCUGCCUAAUACAUAUUAAAAAAAUACAACACA